CGCUCACAUUUCCUGUCAUCAGCCUCCAGCCUCCUUUUGUUGACAGCUGAUUUUACCUGAGUUGAAUAAUACCUGACUCAUUUUUAUUAUAUUACCCAUCCUUUCUGCUUCCAUUUACGCUUCCUCAUAAGAGCCUUUGUAGUCUUUUUUGUCCUUUUUCUGGGGUCAUGUCUGUAAAUCUGCAAUCUGCCGUCGCCUCUUCUCGUUGUCGCCCAUCAACUCUUUUGCUCCCGUCGAUUGACGUUGUUUUCUGCUUUGCAUUUGUACAAUGGUUAUAGAGUUUCUCCGGCUUUCUUUGCAUUUGUACAAUGGUCCCAGCAGAUUUUCUGCUGCUCAACAUCAUGAACAGUGGUUGAGAGGUCAGACUAUUAACUAAACCAUGAAGAAAUGUGGAGAUUGUUCUCUAAAGGUAUGAAAUUUGGAGAUUUUCUCCAUCGUCGUCAUGCUAUUUUACAGGUACAGCCAAGAGAAGAUCAUCACCGAGAAACAUUCUGUGCAAUUUUGCUUCCUUGGGAUUUGUCCUUCUUCAUCUCAGGGGUGCGUUCAAUUAUUGACUCACAAUAGACGAUCCAUAUGGUGCAAAUGAUUGAAGAUGUAGUCACUCCGAAACCAGUUCAUGGAAUAACAAACUUUGUUCCCAUUUUAAACAGCAAGCGAAAUGGGACAAAAAAAAAGAAGGCCAUGAAAAGAAGCAAGGAGGGAAAAUAUGGAUCUUCAUCAGAACAUAAGGAGAAGAUGAGAAGAGGAAUAAGCAGAUGAAGAGAAAAGUAUGAAUCUUCAGCCCAAUCAGGUUAUAAGUUUCUUUAAUUUAAGCAGUUUUUGUAAGGUUUUAUUUUAGUUCAAAAUACAUUUUUAAAUGAGUUUUUGAAAUGAAAAUGAGGUGAGGCUGAUGAAGGGAAAGAACAGAUCUUUGGUUUGAUUGAAUGCUUUAAGUUUUUUCUGUUACUUUUUCUUUGUAACUUGAGCAGUCUUCUGAGUUUCUUUCUUGUUUGCCUUUUUUUUUUAUUUCUGACUUUCUAUUAUGGAAUGUGAAGCAAAAAAGAAAGAAGAAAUAAUAAAAUUUCAUAGUCCUAAGCGAUUUUUUUUUAAAAAAAAAAAUUUGUGUGAGUUGCAUCUAUAGUUGUAGAAUUAGUUAUUAGAAUGAUUGAAAAAUUGGAUUUUGAUCGACUCAUUGUAGAUGGUAAGAGCUUGAAAGUAAUUGAUCAGAUAAUGCUUAGGAUCACAUCAGAUUGUUUUUGCUUUGAGUUUUCAUUUUUUGUUGGUUUAUUCAUUGUGUAAUUAUUUAUUAUGCUUUCAAUAAGAUUUGAUUUUGAUAAGAUUGUGUGAGGAUUCUAAUAGCUUUCAAAUGAUAAGGUAGAUAGUAGAAUCAUUUAUCCUUUUUGGUUUGGGGUUUCAUUUCAAUUUGUGGGAAUUAGGUACCAGAAGAGCUAUAUUUUGUGUUAUCAAUGUUAAUUAUCAUUGGAUUUGCUAAAAUUAGCAUUUGUGGUGUACAUUUAAAGCUUAAAGUAAUGCAAUUCAAAGCUUAAAGUAAUAAAUAGUGCUAUAGUGCCACAAAAAUUCAAGGCAUUAGUUAGACGAUUUUAGAAUCAAAACAAGGAGGAAUAACGAACAUCAUAGGUUAAGCUUACUAUUGCUUUAGGUAGAAUAAUUUCAAAUGUAUUGCACUUUGAAUAUGUCUGAAGAUCUACGUUGUAUUUGAUUGAACUGUUCCACUGAUGAUGCAUUAUCCUGUUGGGUUUAAUUAUUCUCGCUGGUUUUGAUUAAGAUUGUCUUUGUUGCUUUCUCGAUUCCUGAGAUAUGAUCCUUUUUCUUUUGUUUAGAAACAUUAAAAUUACCUCUCGUGCACUUGAAGUGUGAAGAUGCUCAUGGAUUAUUUGCAUUAAUAUCAUCAAGAAAUUUUGUCAGAUCUCGUUGCUUUUGGUUUCUCCUGAGGUAUUUGCAUUCAUGGGAAUGAGAGGAGAAUCAGAAUGAAGCUGGAGCUCUCUGAUGCUAUUAGUCAUUGAAAGUCUAGAGUCAUUUUGCUUGUGGCCAAUUAGAAAUACUUUUUUCUUUUCUUUGUCAAUUUUUUCAAUUGGCACUGGUAUACGUUUAGUCUUACUAAGUAGAUUUUCUCUUUAUACUGCAUGUAUAUGCAUUUUAUUAUUCGUUUGAAUAUAUUGUAAAAGAAACUUAUUGUUGUUAAAUAUCCUUUUCUAGGAACUGACAACUUGAUUUGUGGUUUUUAUCAACAAAAAACAAACUCAUAGCUAUUAAAUGCCUUUUUUAGGAACUAA